rnacentral:sRNA from 1 species
CACAAGGUUUCUCGUAGGUGAACCUGCGGAAGGAUCAUUACCGAGUUGAGGCCCCUCUGGGUCCAACAUCCCAACCCGUGUUUAUUUUACCUUGUUGCUUCGGCGGGCCCGCCUUUACUGGCCGCCGGGGGGCUCACGCCCCCGGGCCCGCGCCCGCCGAAGACACCCUCGAACUCUGUCUGAAGAUUGAAGUCUGAGUGAAAAUAUAAAUUAUUUAAAACUUUCAACAACGGAUCUCUUGGUUCCGGCAUCGAUGAAGAACGCAGCGAUAUGCGAUACGUAAUGUGAAUUGCAAAUUCAGUGAAUCAUCGAGUCUUUGAACGCACAUUGCGCCCCCAGGUAUUCCGGGGGGCAUGCCUGUCCGAGCGUCAUUGCUGCCCUCAAGCCCGGCUUGUGUGUUGGGCCCCGUCCUCCGAUUCCGGGGGACGGGCCCGAAAGGCAGCGGCGGCACCGCGUCCGGUCCUCGAGCGUAUGGGGCUUUGUCACCCGCUCUGUAGGCCCGGCCGGCGCUUGCCGAUCAACCCAAAUUUUAUCCAGGUUUGACCUCGGAUCAGGUAGGGAUACCCGCUG